UUUGUAUUCCCAGCCAUUAAAUCAGUGUCUACAAGAUGAUAGACUAGAUUGGCAAAUUUUGAAUAAAUUACUAAUAAUCAAGUUGGAGGUAGGGUGGAAGUGUCUAAAAGACCAGCUAAUAACAAUGGCAAGUGGUUUACAUAGAGCCUGAAGGAGGCUUAGAGAUGGUAAGAAAAGAUAGAUGCAGAACUAAAAAGAAGAAAAUGAUGAAAAUCUUUGAGCUGCAGUAUCUAAUUUGUUGUUUUGCUUAUUUGAAAUAGGAUCUCAAUAUGUAGCCUUGGCUAAUCUGGUACUCUGUAAUUUAGGGUGACAUUGAGCUCAAAAUAUUCCUCCUGACUCAGCCUUCUGAGUGGUAAGAUUACGAAUAUAUACCACUGUGCCUGUCUCUGAAGUAUCUACUUUUAUAAAAGGAAAACUUCUUUGUCUAAUGAAAGCUAAAAAUUAUUAGCAGUAUGUGGAAGGAAGUUAAUUUACCAAAAGAGACUUAUGAAAUAGAUUGGUUUUGUAUGGAUAACUAACACAGAUAGUACAGUAGUUUGAUGGUUCCUUCUUUUUUGUUUUUUUGGGUUUUUUUUGUUUUUUUUUUUGUUUUGUUUUUUUUUCUUCGAGACAGGGUUUCUCUGUGUAGCCCUGGCUGUCCUGGAACUCACUCUGUAGACCAGGCUGGCCUCGAACUCAGAAAUCUGCCUGCCUCUGCCUCCCAAGCGCUGGGAUUAAAGGCGUGCUGUGCCACCACGUCCGGCUGAUUUUUCCUUCUUUCUGACUUUUCCAGUCACUAGAUACUAAAUAAUUGACAACUAAAUGACCAAUAAUUAGGAACUGCAUAGCUGGUAGAGGGCUGGGUGUUAGUUACUAAAGGCUUGUGAAUUGACCUUUGAGAGAGUUUUACAAUUAGUGUAGGCUGUUGAUCUGAAAUUGUUUUGUUAGUAGUGGUAUGUAUAUAUGAAAUUAAGCAGUCAAUUUUUAAAGGGCUCAAGUAGAACUUUUGUUUUUGUAGGAUAUUUUAAAAGUUGACUUUAUUGAAAACUCAAUCUUGGCUCAGUGUGGUGGCACAUGCCUUUAAUCCCAGAACUCAGGAGGCAGAGCCAGACAGAUCUCUCUAAGGCCAGCCUGGUCUACAUACUGAGUUCUAGGACAGCCAGGGCUACAUAGAGAAAACUUAACUCAGAAGACAAAGACAAAGUUAACAAAAACCCAAGAAAACCUAAUCUUGGGCCAUUCUUAGCCCUAACU
rnacentral:lncRNA from 1 species